rnacentral:rRNA from 1 species
GAUGAACGCUAGCUACAGGCUUAACACAUGCAAGUCGCGGGGCAGCAUGGGGGUUGCUUGCAAUCCCCGAUGGCGACCGGCGCACGGGUGAGUAACGCGUAUCCAACCUGCCCUUCACCACGGGAUAACCCGGCGAAAGUCGGACUAAUACCGUAUGUUGUCCAUUGACGGCAUCCGAUUUGGACGAAAGGUUUGGCGGUGAAGGAUGGGGAUGCGUCCGAUUAGCUGGACGGCGGGGUGACGGCCCACCGGGGCGACGAUCGGUAGGGGUUCUGAGAGGAAGGUCCCCCACACUGGAACUGAGACACGGUCCAGACUCCUACGGGAGGCAGCAGUGAGGAAUAUUGGUCAAUGGGCGUAAGCCUGAACCAGCCAAGUAGCGUGCAGGAUGACGGCCCUAUGGGUUGUAAACUGCUUUUAUGCGGGGAUAAAGUGGCCCACGUGUGGGUUUUUGCGGGUACCGCAUGAAUAAGGACCGGCUAAUUCCGUG